rnacentral:RNase_P_RNA from 1 species
GGAAAGGCGAGGUAAGAGCUCACCCAUCGGCUGGAGACUGUCCGAUGCUGUAAACUCUAUCCGGAGCAACACCGUGGAGAGAACGCAGAUCAUGCGGCAGCCGCGUUGAGCGGCCGCCCGCGAUCAGACUGGCCCGGUUGUUCUCGAGGAGGUGGCUGGAGCGGUCUGGCAACAGGCCGCCUAGAUAGAUGACUGUCAAAUACAGAACCCGGCUUACAGUCUUACUCAUUGA